CGACUUUCGAACGCAUAUUGCAGCCAUUGGAUAGCCGAUGGCUUCGUUUGUCUGAGCGUCGUUAUCAAAUUAUGACCAAACAAAAUGGGAUAGAUCUGUUUCGUCGUGUAAACGUCGUCAGGUCAUUUCCAAACAUUUGAUAUGCUGACUUUUGUGGUGAAGAAGGCUUUGUAGCACAUUCACUCACAAGAGGUAUUUAGCGUUUCCAGCUAAACACCUUGAAUGUGUGCCUUGUGUAACCAAAGUGUAGUCGCAAAUCAUUGUCCAAUAAAAGUCUAAUUUCGACCUCAGAUCAAGCGAGAUUACCCCCUGAAUUUAAGC
rnacentral:rRNA from 1 species